UACGUAGGGGGCAAGCGUUGUCCGGAAUCAUUGGGCGUAAAGAGCGUGUAGGCGGCUCGAUAAGUCUGCUGUGAAAGUCCAGGGCUCAACCCUGGAAGGCCGGUGGAAACUGUCGGGCUAGAGUCCGGAAGAGGCGAGUGGAAUUCCCGGUGUAGCGGUGAAAUGCGCAGAUAUCAGGAGGAACACCGAUGGCGAAGGCAGGUCUCUGGGCCACUACUGACGCUGAGAAGCGAAAGCGUGGGGAGCGAACAGG
rnacentral:rRNA from 1 species